rnacentral:rRNA from 1 species
AGCGAACGCUGGCGGCAGGCCUAACACAUGCAAGUCGAACGAACCUUUCGGGGUUAGUGGCGGACGGGUGAGUAACACGUGGGAACGUGCCUUUAGGUUCGGAAUAACUCAGGGAAACUUGUGCUAAUACCGAAUGUGCCCUUCGGGGGAAAGAUUUAUCGCCUUUAGAGCGGCCCGCGUCUGAUUAGCUAGUUGGUUGAGGUAAUGGGUCACCAAGGCGACGAUCAGUAGCUGGUCUGAGAGGAUGAUCAGCCACAUUGGGACUGAGACACGGCCCAAACUCCUACGGGAGGCAGCAGUGGGGAAUCUUGCGCAAUGGGCGAAAGCCUGACGCAGCCAUGCCGCGUGAAUGAUGAAGGUCUUAGGAUUGUAAAAUUCUUUCACCGGGGACGAUAAUGACGGUACCCGGAGAAGAAGCCCCGGCUAACUUCGUG